GACCCUCAGUAGGAGCUUAGG
rnacentral:snRNA from 1 species